GCUCUCUCAAAGCAAGCUGUGAAAAUGAUACUCUUAGCCAUCACAGUAACAGUGCUCAACUACCCGACUCAGCAAGCAGGGAGAGAACCGAAGGGAUCUUCUGAAGAACUGGGAGUAGCUGCCAGCAACAGCCGCUCACAGGGAAAGGCAAUGGCUGUUUACCUGCAUUGCUCAGUGGGACCAGGAAGGACAGACUCAUUGUGUCCUCCGCCAGAAGACAGUGACAUGACACAAAUGGUAGCACAAGGCUCUUAGUGCUCCACUCAAGUGAUUCUCCAUGGAUAGACUGUGACUCCCCAAAGGCUGCAGAGGGAGCGUUGCUGUGACUCACACCAGGUGACGGGUGUGCUCUCAGAUCCUACCCGGGUUCCUACACGAGGCUUUUUUCUGACCUGGUUGACCCAGAGAGAACAUGGGUGCUGGCUGAGCCUUUCCACGAGAGCUGCUCCCUUCAUCCCGGGCAGCAAACUGACGCGCAGAAAUUGCAACAAAACAGAACAUAACCAAAGCAAAGAGAAAGAGAUAGACAAAAAAUACAGGAUUUUUUGGUGAGGAUCUCUGUGCUUUGCAAAAUGCCUUCAGUCAGACAGAAGCCUUUCUGCUGCUGUCCCUGCCCCACAUGCUGCACGAGAGCAGGGAGCCAACAGGGGGGUGCCUGAAAGCUGCGUGGCUUUGUGCUGUAAGCUCAGCCCAGCCACUGCACCGAGGAAUUUGGUCCUGGCAAUGCAGGAGCUCUCAUCAGGAUCUGCACUCCCUGUAUAUCCACUUUCUCCACCCACGGGAUGGCAUCAAUUCUGCAUGUGCUCAUAUUCACAGAAGUGCCGCGCUCUGCAGUCUGCAAGGGGCGGAUAUACCUGAUCUGCCUCAAACUAACAAACCCCCUGUGCUUGGAAAUAAAGCAAGCCUCAGAAGGGGGGGAAAGUUCCCUCUUUGGAGAUGAUCAGAUGCCGUAAUAUAGUUUCUUUUGAGCCAUAUUUUGCUGGGCAGAUAGCUAUUGAUGUG
ensembl:lncRNA